rnacentral:tRNA from 2 species
GGAGGAGUCGCAUAGAGGCCGAGUGCCGCUCAGUGCUAAUGAGCUAUAUCCGUAAGGGUAUCGUGGGUUCGAAUCCCACCUCCUCCGCCA